rnacentral:rRNA from 1 species
AGUGAACGCUGGCGGUAGGCCUAACACAUGCCAGUCGAACGGCAGCACAGUAAGAGCUUGCUCUUACGGGUGGCGAGUGGCGGACGGGUGAGGAAUACAUCGGAAUCUACUUUUUCGUGGGGGAUAACGUAGGGAAACUUACGCUACUACCGCAUACGACCUACGGGUGAAAGCAGGGGAUCUUCGGACCUUGCGCGAUUGAAUGAGCCGAUGUCGGAUUAGCUAGUUGGCGGGGUAAAGGCCCACCAAGGCGACGAUCCGUAGCUGGUCUGAGAGGAUGAUCAGCCACACUGGAACUGAGACACGGUCCAGACUCCUACGGGAGGCAGCAGUGGGGAAUAUUGGACAAUGGGCGCAAGCCUGAUCCAGCCAUACCGCGUGGGUGAAGAAGGCCUUCGGGUUGUAAAGCCCUUUUGUUGGGAAAGAAAAGCAGCAGGUUAAUACCCCGCUGUUCUGACGGUACCCAAAGAAUAAGCACCGGCUAACUUCGUG